rnacentral:tRNA from 1 species
GCCGUGGUGACAGAGUGGUUAUCGUGCUGGUCUCGAAAACCAGUGGCCUUUGUGCCUCGAGGGUUCGAAUCCCUCCCGCGGCGCCA